rnacentral:rRNA from 1 species
GGGGAAUUUUGGACAAUGGGGGGAACCCUGAUCCAGCCAUGCCGCGUGAGUGAAGAAGGCCUUCGGGUUGUAAAGCUCUUUUGUCCGGGAGGAAAUCCUAUAUGUGAAUAAUGUAUGGGGAUGACAGUACUGGAAGAAUAAGCACCGGCUAACUACGUGCCAGCAGCCGCGGUAAUACGUAGGGUGCAAGCGUUAAUCGGAAUUACUGGGCGUAAAGGGUGCGCAGGUGGUUUAUCAAGCCAGAUGUGAAAUCCCCGGGCUUAACCUGGGAAUGGCAUUUGGGACUGAUAGGCUAGAGUACGGCAGAGGGGGGUAGAAUUCCACGUGUAGCAGUGAAAUGCGUAGAGAUGUGGAGGAAUACCGAUGGCGAAGGCAGCCCCCUGGGUUGAUACUGACACUCAAGCACGAAAGCGUGGGGAGCAAAC